UUUGUGCACAGCCAAGAACGAAGGCGUUGCCAUAGUAUCCACUUGGUAGACUCGGCUUGACUCGGUUUCUAAUAUUGAUACUGAAGAGAAGCUUCGAGAUUUGGUUUGAUGGCAGGUUCAGAGCUCUAGCCCAGCUCCUCCACACAUGACCUGAUAAUACCUCAAAAGUCGUGGAUGCUGACGACUCACCAGGUUGACUCACUGACCCGGCGAGUCUCUUUAACUCGUUUUGAAACUUCUUAUCGAAUGUAACUGAAGUAGGAAUAAGUCUUUCGUUGGAGAAGCGAGUCAAGAACCCACAAAGGUCUGGAACUCGGUUGAACUCGG
rnacentral:misc_RNA from 1 species